rnacentral:lncRNA from 1 species
CCGCAAUUACUUUCCAAAAAUUGGGAUUUACAAAAGACUACCCUUUGUUAUACAAAAGAGGGUUUUACAUCACUACUAGAUACAUAAUAUUUACAUAUCUAAGCUACUCUAGCUAUUGCUAGAUUACAUCUGCCUUAGAGCAUUUUCAAAAUCUUUGAUGGCCAGACCGACAAUAACAUCUCUACUGAUAGUAUGUCGGGUAUGUCCUGCUUCUAUCUGAUACCCAGCUACCUGCUGCUGGAAAUCCACAUGAGAAUUCUUAUGUAUAUAGGACAUCCUCUCCAACUUCCGCUGUUUAGUCUUUAGCUCCUGCUUGAGCUCAAAGACUUCACAUUUCAGCUCUCAAACCUUGUCCUUAGCUAGAAUUCUAUCAUCAUGCUCCUCUUCCCACAUUCCCUUAAUACUAGUCUUGUCCUCACGGACAGCUUGGAGUUCCUCUUUCAACUCCUUAACCUCCUGGCAGUAAUGGGCAUUCCU